ensembl:snRNA
GCAUUGUACAAAAGGUGAGAAAGUUGUCCCCUGGACAAGGCUCCCAGGCCUAUACAAUACACAGACAGUUAAGGCACUGUUACCUACUUCGUGGUAUUGAACCACAGUUUUAA